rnacentral:lncRNA from 1 species
GUCAUGCCGGGGAUAGUGGAGCUGCCAACUCUGGAAGAGCUGAAAGUAGAGGAGGUGAAAGUCAGCUCAGCCGUGCUUAAAGCUGCCGCCCAUCACUAUGGGGCUCAGUGCGAUAAGACCAAUAAGGAGUUCAUGCUGUGCCGCUGGGAAGAGAAGGACCCUAGGCGCUGCCUGAAGGAGGGCAAGCUGGUCAACGGCUGCGCACUGAACUUCUUCCGAUCAAGAGUCACUGUGCGGAGCCUUUCACAGAGUACUGGACUUGCCUUGAUUAUUCCAGCAUGCAGCUGUUUCGUCACUGCCGCAAACAGCAGGCAAAGUUUGACGAAUGUGUGUUGGACAAACUGGGCUGGGUGAGGCCUGACCUUGGGGAGUUGUCUAAGGUCACCAAAGUGAAAACAGAUCGCCCUUUGCCAGAGAAUCCUUAUCACUCAAGACCAAGGCCAGAGCCCAGCCCCGUGAUCGAAGGGGAUCUGAAGCCUGCCAAGCACGGCAGCCGCUUUUUCUUCUGGAACGUGUAAAGAUGGAUCCACGGCCCAUACUCGGUUACCUCGGUCAUGCACCCAGACAACAGACAACGAAAACACCCAUGCCGACCUAGUGUUCUUUCCUGGAUCACAGACGUUAACGAAAAAGUUAAUUUAUGUGGCUUGGCAGUUACUCUGUACGUUUCCUGUCCAUUAAAAAUGUUAAAGG